GCUACGGGUGGCAGCAGUGAGGAAUAUUGGUCAAUGGGCGCUAGCCUGAACCAGCCAAGUAGCGUGAAGGAUGACUGCCCUAUGGGUUGUAAACUUCUUUUAUAUGGGAAUAAAGUGCAGUAUGUAUACUGCUUUGCAUGUACCUUAUGAAUAAGGAUCGGCUAACUCCGUGCCAGCAGCCGCGGUAAUACGGAGGAUCCGAGCGUUAUCCGGGUUUAUUUGGUUUAAAGGGAUCGUAGGCUGGUUGUUAAGUCAGUUGUCGAAGUUUGCGGCUCAAACGUAAAAGUGCGGUUGAUACUAGCAACGUUGAGUACGGUAGAGGUAGGCGGAAUUCGUGGUGUAGCGGUGAAAUGCUUAGAUAUCACGAAGAACUCCGAUUGCGAAGGCAGCCUGCUGGGCUGUAACUGACGCUGAUGCUCGAAAGUGUGGGUAUCAAACAGGAUUAGAUACCCUAGUAGUC
rnacentral:rRNA from 1 species